rnacentral:rRNA from 1 species
AGAGUUUGAUCAUGGCUCAGGACGAACGCUGGCGGCGUGCUUAACACAUGCAAGUCGAGCGGUAAGGCCCUUUCGGGGGUACACGAGCGGCGAACGGGUGAGUAACACGUGAGUAAUCUGCCCUUGGCUCUGGGAUAAGCACUCGAAAGGGUGUCUAAUACCGGAUAUGACAGGCCCCCGCAUGGGGUGUUUGUGGAAAGUUUUUUCGGCUGGGGAUGUGCUCGCGGCCUAUCAGCUUGUUGGUGGGGUAAUGGCCUACCAAGGCUUUGACGGGUAGCCGGCCUGAGAGGGUGACCGGUCACACUGGGACUGAGACACGGCCCAGACUCCUACGGGAGGCAGCAGUGGGGAAUAUUGGACAAUGGGCGGAAGCCUGAUCCAGCAACGCCGCGUGAGGGAUGACGGCCUUCGGGUUGUAAACCUCUUUCAGUACCGACGAAGCGUGAGUGACGGUAGGUACAGAAGAAGCACCGGCCAACUACGUGCCAGCAGCGGCGGUAAUAC